rnacentral:rRNA from 1 species
ACGAACGCUGGCGGCGUGCUUAACACAUGCAAGUCGAACGGAAAUAUCCUAAUAGUAAUAUGAAGAUAUUUUAGUGGCGGACGGGUGAGUAACACGUGGGUAACCUGCCCUAUGGAGGGGGAUAACACUAAGAAAUUUGUGCUAAUACCGCAUAACAUAACGAUAUCGCAUGGUAUUGUUAUCAAAGAUUUAUUACCAUAGGAUGGACCCGCGGCCCAUUAGCUAGUUGGUGAGGUAACGGCCCACCAAGGCGACGAUGGGUAGCCGACCUGAGAGGGUGAACGGCCACAUUGGAACUGAGACACGGUCCAGACUCCUACGGGAGGCAGCAGUGGGGAAUAUUGCACAAUGGGGGAAACCCUGAUGCAGCAACGCCGCGUGAGCGACGAAGGCCUUCGGGUCGUAAAGCUCUGUCUUAGCUGACGAUAAUGACGGUAAGCUAGGAGGAAGCCACGGCUAACUACGU